rnacentral:rRNA from 1 species
AUUGAACGCUGGCGGCAUGCCUUACACAUGCAAGUCGAACGGUAACGGGCCUUUGGGUGCCGACGAGUGGCGAACGGGUGAGUAAUGUAUCGGAACGUACCUUUCAGUGGGGGAUAACGUAGCGAAAGUUACGCUAAUACCGCAUAUUCUGUGCGCAGGAAAGCAGGGGAUCGCAAGAACUUGCGCUGAUUGAGCGGCCGAUAUCAGAUUAGCUAGUUGGUGAGGUAAAGGCUCACCAAGGCGACGAUCUGUAGCGGGUCUGAGAGGAUGAUCCGCCACACUGGAACUGAGACACGGUCCAGACUCCUACGGGAGGCAGCAGUGGGGAAUUUUGGACAAUGGGGGCAACCCUGAUCCAGCCAUGCCGCGUGAGUGAAGAAGGCCUUCGGGUUGUAAAGCUCUUUCGGCCGGGAAGAAAUCGUAUCAGCUAAUACCUGGUGCGGAUGACGGUACCGGCAUAAGAAGCACCGGCUAACUACGUGCCAGCCGCCGCCGUAAAAC